UGUAACUGAGUAGUAUUCCUUGUCUGCAGAUAUUAAUGUCUUUACCCAUUCUCCCGUCAAUAGGACCAAGGCUAUUUCCAGCUUUUUGGCAUUAUGAAUGAAGCUACCAUGUCCAUUCUUGGACAUGUCUCUUUGUUCGGUUGUGUGCCAGAUGACAUGAGUAAAAGGUCUAUCAGGUCUGAAGAAGAUGCGAUUUCACCAUGGAGGUGGUCCACCUGCUCUUCCAUCUGAGGCAGCCAGAAAGUGUUGCUUCCCAUGGCUGCUAGCAGGACUGACGUGACCCUCCUGCCCCCUGAAGCCAGGUCAUCUCUGGGCCCAUCUCCUGUCUCCUGCUCUACAUCUUCACCUCCGUGAUCAAGGCUUGUCUGAUCCUCAUGGCACAAUGCCCCACGGGCCACCGCAGGCACCUGGAGCAGCAGCAGGAACCAGGGUACAGCCUCCCCCUCUCAGGGGUCUGCAGCAGCCCUCAGGCCCAAGCUGGGCCUCAAGCAACAUGAGCGCCCAGGGGUACACUCUCCCUGGGCCUUCAGCCUGGGGGUAACUCAGGCUCUCAACCUGAGGGGCAAAGUGCUCCCCAGUGGGAUACGACUCCAUGUGAGAUGGGCAGAACACACCCUGGUGGAGACUCCGGCCUGGGCAGGGAUGGGGGGCAGGCAGUGCAGGCUGGCUCGGCCUCCUUCAGCCAGCGCCUUGGGCCAGGCUGCUGCAGUGCCCUCUGACCUCGGUGAGUGGAGGGGUGCUACGGGGUCUGACCCCAGCAGUGUGGUGUGGGCCUGCCACCCACUGGGUUCAACACUGGGAUAGUUCUCUGGACCCCAGUGAGGACUGGGGCUCUUCCCUCAGGAAACUGAACAGCCUCUCUGGGAACUGGGUGCAUUGCUCCCCAAAGGUGAGCUGUACAAGGUGACCAGGGCACUGACGAGGACACUUGGAAGGAACAACAUUUAUCGCAGUCAUCGUGAGAAAGCAGCCUAUUCUGGUUGUGCUGGAUGUGACCAGACAGUGGACACACAUGCCCAUCCCAUUUCCACGAUCUGUGGUCUCCAGGCUGUCACUGGAGAAGAAAUGGGCAAGGAAGCCCCUCCACGCAUGGGCUCCGAGGAUCUGUAGCCCCGAGUGUCCCCCAUGUUCACACCGGCCAAGAGCCCUUUCUGGGCUAGACGCAGCGGGUAGCUGGGCAGGGCAGUGUCACUCUGGCAUGGACCGCGGGGCUCGCUUGCUGCCCGGCACUCUGCAGUCACAGGGCCUGUGGCUUAGAGACUGUGCACAGGCGGCCAGAGCAUGGAGGGGAGGCAGAGAAGAGCUCCCAGGGAACAUGGCUGUUCUGCUUUUACCUGAGGUAGUGGGUACGCGGGCAUUUGCUUGACCCACAAAUUCCACAAGGAUUGUCAUGUUGAAGACAUGUACCAGUGGAAACACAGGGAGCCGGUGAGAGUCCCUCUGCCUGUUGGCUGAAGCUCAGGCGUGGCACUCAGGGUGGCCAGCUGUGGACCCCAGCACUGUCCGCAUGUGCAGCCCGACACGGCUCACAUUGGGAGGAUGGUCGACAAGAACGAUUUCUUUAUUGUAGAUCUUUCUGGUGUUGCCCCAGGAAGUGGCAGCUUCCAUCUAGGAGGAGCAGAGGCUGAGCCGGUGGUCUUCCUGCCCUCUGUCCUUGCGCCAGAGGCUGUCCCCCCACCCUGAGCCCUGUCCAGGGCACUGCAUCUCAGACAGGCAGUGGCCAGGGGGCCUGAGAGUGAAGGGACAGCAGGGCAAUCCCACACCAGGCUCAGAACUGCCUCUACCAAAAGCCAGACCUGCUGGUCACCCGCUCUUCCACAGUGAGUGCUGGUGGUGCCCACAGACCAGGAGGGCGAGUCACUCUCAUAGGUGCAAACACUGCUCAUCACUUAUGAGAUGCUCACACACCACGGUGGUCUCCCAGACAUGUGACAGAAACAGCACCACUGUCCUCAGAGUCAUAUCUGGGGCCCACCAGGGGGAGCUUCCUGGUCCUGGGGGGCUGUGGAAGUCACUGUCUUGGGGAGGUGGACCCUGGGGGUGGGACGGUGGGUGAACCCUGGCCCCCUGCACUUCCAUGGAGCGAGUGGCCUGCUGGGAGGUGAUGGGCCACCUGCUCCCAUUGCACCAACCUGGUGACUCUGCAUACGUGCACAACAGCCACACUGCCUGGCUGCGUCAUGACCAGGUAAGCCGGGAACAGAUUCUUCGUCGGGAUCUCCAGGGAGAUGAAAGAGCCCCAGAGAUGGCCACGAAAGCCAGCGCCCAGGCCCAGCCCUGUGGCAGGAGCACAGGUGGGGUCGUAUCUUGUUGCAUCUGUGCACCUGUAGCUACUCUUCUCGACCUGCUCUAGUUACUACUAGACCUACUAGACAGUAUUGCAAAAACAAUUUUAACAGUAAAUACAAUAAUGGCUUAGGUACAAAGAACCUGAAAAAUGAAUGUUUCUGCAUAAUGAAUAUCCCAUACAACUAAAAAUUAACUUCUCCCUUCCUUUGGGUGGAUAUUUUAUAAUGUGUUUCUACAACGGACAGGCCUACUAGACAAAUAGAUUCUGAGAUGCUGUGGGGACACACUGCAGGCUUACAUGCUGAGGUGUCCACAGGGAGGUGAUGUGCUUCUGUAGCCACGGGGGCGACACUGGUAUUGACCCUGUGACAGUGGGACUUCAUUCUCCUAUAAAAGCUGCUGGCUGAAACUUUUCUGUGUUCCCUUGUCUGAAGAAGGAACAACAAGAAGGAGGGACCUUCGGUCUCAAGGGCAGGCUGCCAUGGCUGCCCACGAAGACAAGUGAGAGGAGCUCUGUUUCCCACAGUGUGAAGAUGAGGCUGGCAGAUGUGUGUCCUGCUUGCAACAAUUAACCCAUGACAACCAGCUCACUUCUGGCAAGAAAACAAGGAAAAUCCUCUGAAGCCAGUUGUGGGAUGGAUUGGUCCCCUGAGAUGUACGCUAGCCCAAUUGAGCACCUGCCCUGAAGAUUCUGUGUGUCUUGGGUGGUCUUGAACUUCCAUUUUAAUGGGAGGUACAGUGAGGGGUCAGGGGUUAGAACCUAGAAGGGUUACAUCCCAGCAAGAAGGCAAACUAGAUGAAAAAGUUGCCCCACAAGGCAAUUUGCAGGACUUGACCUUGAUAUUAGGAGGACAACACCUCUGGAAUUUGAAAGCAUAGGCUAGCACUCAUGUGAAUUUGUAGCUUAAAUUUUUAUACUUGUGCUACAAAUGACAGGCCAGGAGCCUGAAGUGGUCACAGGCUGUCAGCACCCCAUGGCCUGUGCUCUCUGGAGGAAUGCAUCUUCAGUUCCAGUCUCAAAGAAUUUCCACAGACAGAGUUCUAUCCCUCAUGAGAUCAUAACAAAAAGUCAGGAAACACAAAAUAAAAUAAAGCCUAUCAUUGAGAGACAGCAGAAGUAGGAAAAACAGAUGGCCCAGGUAUUGGUAUUAUCAGACAGGAUAUGAAAGCUUAAUGUGUUUAAGUAAAAAAAAAAAGAGUAUUAAAUAUGAAGAGCAACAAGCAGCUAUCAAAGUGGCUUUUAUAACAGUCAAAUAGAUAUGACCAAUUGUGGCCAAAACAGAGGAACAAGAACUAGAUUUACCCUCUGGACUGAAACUGCCAGCAAUUGUGAAACAGUAAAUCCACUAGACGUCAGGCAGCGGAGGGCAGGGGCCCACGAGAGACGAGAAGCUGGUGGGUGGAGCCCUGAGCUGCUUGCAGCUCCCUGCCCAGGGGCCGGGGCGCAUCCACGCUGCGGUGCAGGGAGGGGUCAUCACAGCCAGGUGGGUGAGCAGGCGGGAGACUGUCUCCAUGGAGAUGAGCGCCCCAAAGCUCACAGCAGAGAGGGCUGGAGGGGAUGUGGACAAAAGUCCUGAGACAUGCAGGAGUUCCCCACUGGGUGUCCAGCCAGGUCCUGGUCAGGGCACUGAAGUGGGCAUGAAUCCCUGGUAGGCUUUCUGACACCCACGGGGCGGGAAGGCUGCCUGCUCCCACCAGGCAAGGCUGGGACCCCAGGAUUCCAGGCGCAUGGGCAGAGCCCAUGAGGCGCUGUUGCCUAAGCUGUGUGACAUGACUGCCUGUGACUGAGCAUGGCUCAGGUUCCACCUGGCACAUCCCAAACGCAAGACCCAAAGGAUCAAUGUGUUUCAAAAAACCUCAGCUUUGUUCUUGAACAGAGCUCAGGAAUAUUUACAGAAAUUCAAAAAUAUCACCCAACAAAAUACAACUUCUCAAUAUCUGUCAGCCUGUUAUGGAUUGAAUUGUGUGCCCCUCAUGUCAAUAUGUCAAAGUCUGAUGGUUUCUCUUCUUUGUUAAUAUGCUAAGUUACUUUGAUGGAUUUCAGUGCUGAACCAGCCUUACAAUACUGACAUGAACUUAGUCAUGGGUUACAUUUUUUUUUACACAUUAUUGGGUUUAAUGUGCUACAGUUUUGUUUAGAAUUUUUAUGUUCAUAUUAAUCAGAUAUUUUUCUCCUGUAGUUUUCUUUUUUUUUUAUAAGACUUUAUAUAGUUUUGGUAUCAGGGAAAUGCUGACCUUAUGAGAAGAUCUAGGAAAAAAUUCCCUGCUCUUCAGGUUUCUGGAAGAAUUUGUGUAGAAAAUGCAAUUUCUUCCUCAGUGAUAUGGUAGAAUUCACUAAAGAAGCAACUGUGGAGGACAGUGUGGAACUUUAUACAGAAGUUAAACAUACACCUACCAAAUGGUCCAACCAUUUUACUCCUGCAUGUUUAUCCAAACGAAAAGAGCAUAGGUCCUCACAAACGUGUAUAUAAAUAAAUGUGCAGCGCAACUGUAUUUGUAGAAGCCCAUUAGAAACAAACCAAAUAUCCACUAAUAAGUGAAUGCACAAGCUAACUGAAGAUAUGCUCAUUAUCUUGACUGUGAUGUUCCCUGAUUGUAUAUACCUGUUAAAAUGUGUCAAGUUGUACAUUUAAACACGUAUAGUUUAUUGUAUGUUGGUUAUACUUCAA